UAGAACAUUAAAAUUUUUAGAGACGGGGAUUGAAACUUCACUAAUAUUUAUUUUCUAAAAUACCUUCGAUCAAAAUUUGAAAAUCCAACACUACCCCAAUUAUUUAAGGCCUUCUCCUUCGUUCUUUCUCUGCAAACUCACCCUACUCAAAUCGUGACCUCAUUGUCGCCACCAGGAUCAGCCUGUCUUCGUCGUCAGUGGCUUCCUUUUUUCUCUCUUCUCCCUAAUUCCCACGCUGUCAGUGUUUGCUUGCCUCUUGAAUACUUCUUCGUCCUCUUCUUUCUGCAUCUCGUGUCAACCGCCUUGACUUCGUCGUGCCUGUCGCUGUCGGCACCCCCUUUGCCAUUUUGAAAGAGAAAAUCAUUACCUUUCAUUACCACCGAAAAAAAGACAUGCCUUUAUUGUGAAUUAUGAGUAUCUUGUACAAAUUGUGGGUACAGUUUGACACGGAUGAAAUUGUUGAUGAAAAUGCCUACGACGGGAAUCUCCCGUGAAGUGGAAUUCGCCAUCAACUUAACCCAGGCGCUCACGAAAUGGAGCAGAUGCAAGUCAGGACCAAGUCAAAAACAUCAUAAGUGGGUGUGGGUAUAUUUAUAUAUAAAUAAAAGAUAACUCAGCUGCAUCGCCUGGGAAUUGGAGGAGUUGUAGGUUGAGGAUCCAUGCUGCUUCUGGCACAUGCAAAAUGGCCACAUCAGCUAUGUCACCCACGACAUGGGCGCCUGGGCUGAGUUAAUGGCGAAUUUGACUUUGCGGGCGGCUCCCAUAAAUUGGCCGUGUGCAUUUUCAUCAACAAUUUUAUCUAUGCGCAUUUUGGAAAUUAAUAAUUUUAUAUAUUUAUUUAAAUAAAAAAACCUCUAUAUUGAUGUGACAGAAUUUUCUUUGAACAUGCUUUGUUUUAGUAUUUGAUUAUUUAUGUUCUGGCCAUGCCUUGAUCUGGAUUUGGAUAAGGAAAUAGUCAUAUUUAGUUAUGUUUGUUUGAUUUGGAAUUACUAUAUUAUGAAUUUGUAUGGAGAAAUUUGAAGAAAAGCGAAAAGAAGAAAGAGAGAAUCAACAAGGGGUAUUCAAGUAACUUUGUUUGUUUUAGUCUCUGUAUUUUUUUUUAAACCAAAUAGAAUACUGAGACAAUUUAAUUUUGUACACUUUACAUUAAACAUAAUACUUAAAUUUAAUUUAGUCUCUA